CGUUCUGAUGCUCGGAGGCCCACAGAGCAGCAGGCCUGGAGGAGGGCAGUAGCCCAGUGUAUUUGACAUAGUCAAAUACAGUAGUCCCCUCCUUCAGAGGACAAGGCGGGACAAAACGAUCCUUAUUGGGAGAUUUCCAGGAGACAGAGAGUAAGAAACAGCACGGGGAGCAGUGAUAAGAAGCUUGACAGCUGAGUCUUUGGAACCAAGGUCACUGAUUUUCCUACCAAGGAUGCCAAGGUGUCUGCAGUGAAUGGGAGGUUGUGCAGUCAAUCAACCCUGGGUACCAUCUGGAGCAUUGCCCAUGGCAAAAGGGCAGGCUCUGAGCUUGCCAGCCUCAGGGCAGGCAGGAAGCAGGUGGAUGGACAACUGAACACCAGAGGCCAGCAGACACCACAGGUGGAUAUCCCAGAGCCUGCAGGCACUCAGAGCCCUCUCCUCCUCCACCGCCAAGGGUCAGAUGGAAGAAAGCUGAGGUUUAGCUGCAAAGAACAAUUAGCCAAUGAAGAGAGGUUGCACAAGGAGAGAAGACGCCACCGGGAGACAUGCACACAGGAUGUCAGAGCACCCAGGAAGUGCGAGCUCCGGGGGUGAGACCUGCCAGACCCCAGAAACAUGGGCAGAUCUGAAAGAUCUAGGAAGCCAGGAAGCUGGUGGAGGACCUAUGUGUGGACAGCCCCGCACUGAGGCUGCUCCUGUGCUAAGGAGCCUGGGAAAGCUCUCAAGAGACAGCACCAUGGGGAAAGGAGUCUCCUCCCGCCACACACCUCUGUUCAUCUCCAGCUUCUCAUCUCAGUCUCCGCAAAUCUUAAUCUCUACUCAUCUCACUCUCUACUAAUCACCCUUCCUACGUUUCCCGUUCUGGGCAUGUCAAGCUAAUAGUUGGUACACCGUUGUUGCAGGAGAUAUUCCUGAACUCAGCAAAGUCAGCUCUGACUGCUUGUGACUCCAGUGAACAUCCUGGUCGCGCUGACUGGUGUUUUAUGAAGUCGGCCUGUGUCUUACUAGCGCUUUCAAGACCAUGAGGUGACACAACGUGGGGUCCGUCUGUGAAACUGAAGUGACUCAGCGCCUCUUUCAGAUGCAUCCGCUGAAAGAGAAAUACGAGUGGGCGAAGUGUAACUCACCUUACCUUAAAAAAAAAGAAGCAGCAGAAAAAAAAGCCCUCUACGCCUCAGGCACAAAUAACAGACAGUAAAAUAGCAAACACGGUGAGUUGCUGGGACUGGGUUUUUGCUGCAGUGCGGAUGGAGACCCGCUUACACCUCGUAAAGAGGCGCUGGGGGCUGGGACCUAUAGGAAAUGGUAAACAGGAGGGUAGAACAGAAGAACAGAAGGGGAAGGACAGCUGUUCGUGGAAUCAGUUUUGUGAUCGGGAGCAUGUAGCUUGGGGGAGACAUUGUGCACACUGUACUAACCCUCUUCUUGGAACGCCCCACAUUCCAUGUAGGAGAGCUGGUUCAAGUCCCAGCUCCUCUGCUUCCUACCAGUGCAUCCUGGGAGGCUCGAGCGCCCUGGACCCCUGCCACCCACUGGGGAGUCCCAGCUGGAGUUCCUGGCCCCUGUAUUCAGCCUGGCUCAGCCCUGGCUGUUGCACGCGUUUGGGAAGUGAGCCAGUGGCUGAACGAUAUCUCACUCUCUCAGUCUUUGAAGUAGAUAAAGAAUGAGUAAAUAAUGUUAAAUGAUAUCUCUGGAAAAAUAAAAAUAUGUAGAUUAAUUGCAAAGACUAGCUUUCUGGAGCUGGCUAAAGCUUUAUGGGUGUGUGUGCACACACACAUAUCGUUCCACCUGCUAGGACAGUGGUGGGUGCUAGGUAAGCUGUUAGACAAAUUAGAGGGGGAGGAGGAAUAUUUGAUGCAUAUUCAGCUUCACACUUUCCUGGGGCAGCUGGUCAAGCUGUGGCUUGGAUGCCAGUAUCCCGUAUCAGAGUGCCUGGUUCAAGUCCUGGCUACUGAGCGCGUCUGAUCCAGCUCCCUGCUAAAGCCUCCGGGACGGCAGCCAGAGAUGGCCCACGUGGGCGACUCGGAAGAAGCUCCUGGCUCCUGGCUUCAGCCUGGCCAACCCGGGCUGUUUGGGUCACUGUCUGUCUCUCUGCCUUUCAGAGAAAUAAAUCUUCUUAUUGAAAUCUAUCACGCGGCACGGUUCUGACUCCUCCGCGAGUCUUCCCGUCGGGGACCGUAUUUAGCACAAAUGCACCCCCGUGUUUCCAUGCAGCUGGAGAGUCCUGCUGUUUCGCACCUUUCCAGCUU